rnacentral:rRNA from 1 species
AGCGUAGACGGCGCAGCAAGUCUGAUGUGAAAGGCAGGGGCUUAACCCCUGGACUGCAUUGGAAACUGCUGUGCUUGAGUGCCGGAGGGGUAAGCGGAAUUCCUAGUGUAGCGGCGAAAUGCGUAGAUAUUAGGAGGAACACCAGUGGCGAAGGCGGCUUACUGGACGGUAACUGACGUUGAGGCUCGAAAGCGUGGGGAGCAAACA